rnacentral:rRNA from 1 species
UACAUAGGAUGCAAGCGUUAUCCGGAAUGAUUGGGCGUAAAGCGUCUGUAGGUGGCUUUUUAAGUCCGCCGUCAAAUCCCAGGGCUCAACUCUGGACAGGCGGUGGAAACUACCAAGCUGGAGUACGGUAGGGGCAGAGGGAAUUUCCGGUGGAGCGGUGAAAUGCGUAGAGAUCGGGAGGAACACCCGUGGCGAAGGCGGCCAACUGGGCCGGACCUGACGCUGAGGCGCGAAGGCGUGGGGAGCGAACGGG